rnacentral:rRNA from 1 species
CAGCAGCCGCGGUAAUACGUAGGGUGCAAGCGUUAAUCGGAAUUACUGGGCGUAAAGCGUGCGCAGGCGGUUAUAUAAGACAGAUGUGAAAUCCCCGGGCUCAACCUGGGAACUGCAUUUGUGACUGUAUAGCUAGAGUACGGCAGAGGGGGAUGGAAUUCCGCGUGUAGCAGUGAAAUGCGUAGAUAUGCGGAGGAACACCGAUGGCGAAGGCAAUCCCCUGGGCCUGUACUGACGCUCAUGCACGAAAGCGUGGGGAGCAAACAGGAUUAGAUACCCGGGUAGUCCUGUCUCUUAUACA